UCCNCAAGAGAGGUUCAGGAAAGCAGAG
rnacentral:piRNA from 1 species